GAUGAACGCUGGCGGCGUGCUUAACACAUGCAAGUCGAACGAGAAUCAACGGAUUGAGGAUUCGUCCAAAUGAAGUUGAGGAAAGUGGCGGACGGGUGAGUAACGCGUGAGGAACCUGCCUCGGAGUGGGGAAUAACAGUUGGAAACAGCUGCUAAUACCGCAUAAUGCAACGGAAUCGCAUGACUCUGUUGCCAAAGAUUUAUCGCUCUGAGAUGGCCUCGCGUCUGAUUAGCUAGUAGGCGGGGUAACGGCCCACCUAGGCGACGAUCAGUAGCCGGACUGAGAGGUCGACCGGCCACAUUGGGACUGAGACACGGCCCAGG
rnacentral:rRNA from 1 species